GAAAAUUAGAAGCUGGCUCAGGGGUCCGCGAAAAAUUUUAAAUCAAAAUGGGGGUCCCCAGGAUGCUAAAGUUUGAGAACCGCUGCUCUGGAGUAAAUU